UGCCAGCCGCCGCGGUAAUACGGAGGGUGCAAGCGUUGUUCGGAAUUACUGGGCGUAAAGCGCGCGUAGGUGGUUUGUUAAGUCAGAUGUGAAAGUCCACGGCUCAACCGUGGAAGUGCAUUUGAAACUGGCAGACUUGAGUAUUGGAGGGUGGUGGAAUUCCUGGUGUAGAGGUGAAAUUCGUUGAUAUCAGGAGGAACACCGGCGGCGAAGGCGGCCACCUGGCUUGAUACUGACGCUCAUGUCCGAAAGCGUGGGGAGCAAACAGGAUUAGAUA
rnacentral:rRNA from 1 species